UCAUAAGGACAGAACGGGUUGGUGAUGUAGACCUGACACGUGAGCCUGUGUUCAAAGUGGAGAGUACCUUCACAGCACCUUGGCUCUCUGUUGCUGUUGACGUCUUCCUGCUUCAUCUAGCGGACAAUAAGAAUAAUAUUUGACUGAAAC